AUGGUAGAACUUAAGUUGCAGUUAGUGGCACAGAGCAUCCUCAGUUUUCUGGGACGUCCCCAUCUCGGACGUGCUGUUCAGGGAUAUCUUGAUAUCUUGCCCCUCUUGAAGGAUUUAGACUUCUUAGGAGCUUCCAUCUGCCUCCUGGCCAGUCACCUGAAGUCCCUCGAGAGAGGCAAGAUUAACUACAUCGCAGGCCUAGACUCUAGGGGUUUCCUGUUUGGCCCCUCUCUAGCUCAAGUUCUGGGUCUGGGAUGUAUGCUCAUCUUGAAGGGUUGAAAGCGGCCAGGACCUACCUAUCAUGUCAGCCUCCUAUGCUCUGGAGUUUGGUAAGACUGAGCUGGAAAUCCAGAAAGAUGCCUUAGAACCUGGGCAGAAUGUGGUUGUUGUAGAUGAUCUCCUGGCCAUUGGAGGAGCCAUGCCUGAGGCCUGUUAGGUGCUGGGCCAGCCACAGGCUGAGGUGGUGGGGUGUGUGAGCCUGAUAGAGCUGAGCUCGCUGAAAGGCAGGUUCACCUAAGAUCCAUACCCUUCUCUCUCUUGCAGUAUGAGUAA